GAGCAUAACAGAGUCUUCUUCCUGAGUACAGCAGUUGUUUCCUUCAUUUAUAGGUAGAUUUUAAGUGUCAGUUCUUUCUAUAGUCACCAAAUAAGCUCCUUCAUUCCAAUUCACAGAUGACAGAGCUUUGAGUUCUUCCAAGAUGCCAGAAUGUCAGUGGUUGAACAAUCAGAAAUGGAAGAAUAAAAGAAAUGUCAGACCGAACCCAAAAGGAUUAUAAGAAAAAAACAGACUUAGAUAUUUAACUUCUUCAUGCCACAUGGACUCCUUGCGAAUGAGAAUUUCAAUUGCCACUCUGCUGGUGUACAAUCUUGUCUUCAAAGUUACGGUCCCUGUCAAAAGGAAUGUAGCUCACAAUUUGUUGAAGUCCUGCUGCAAAUAAAGAUUCCCAGACUUCUUA